rnacentral:rRNA from 1 species
UACAGAGGGGGCAAGCGUUGUUCGGAAUUACUGGGCGUAAAGGGCGCGUAGGCGGCCCUCUAAGUCAGACGUGAAAUCCCUCGGCUCAACCGGGGAACUGCGUCUGGAGAGAUGGAGCUUGAAUUCGGGAGAGGGAUGUGGAAUUCCAGGUGUAGCGGUGAAAUGCGUAGAUAUCUGGAGGAACACCGGUGGCGAAGGCGGCAUCCUGGACCGAGAUUGACGCUGAUGCGCGAAAGCCAGGGGAGCAAACGGG